rnacentral:tRNA from 1 species
GGGCCCGUAGCUUAGCAUGGCUAGAGCGCCCGGCUGAUAUCCCAACAGACACCGGGAGGUCGAGGGUUCAAAUCCCUCCGGGCCCA